UCCAGGUCUUCGCAGAAGUGCCCGAUGGAAUCACGUGACUGAGCCAGGAAAACCUCAGGACUGGAGUGCCUCAUGAACGGUUGAAGCCCAGGUAAUUCUUUUCUUGGAUCCCAGAAAUGAGUCCAAAGUGCCAAUAGAAAUUUGCUGGCUUCUCAUUUUUCAGUAAUUUCCCCAUUUACCAAUUCUGUGUUUUACUUGGUUUGGAUUUGUUUACAUUGCUAGCAUCACUGAUUGGGACUUUGUUUGUUUUUGUUGUUUCAAGGCAAAGUCUCACUCUGUCGCCCAGGCUGGAGUGCAGGGGUAUGAUCUCGGCUCACUGCAACCUCUGUGUCCCAGGUUCAAGUGAUUCUCCUGCCUCAACCUCCUGAGUAGCUGGGACUAUAGGUGGAUGCCACCAUGCCCGACUAAUUUUUGUAUUUUUAGUAGAGACAGGGCUUUUCCAUGUUGGCCAGACUGGUCUCGAACUCCUGACCUCAGGUGAUAGACCCGCCUCAGCCUCCCAAAAUGCUGGGAUUACAGGCAUGAAGCACUGUGCUGGGCUAGGAAUUUGGUUUUAUGGUCUGAUCACAUGGUGAUCUCUGUAAUGAGAUUAAUGUUUGCAAAGACCUAACUUCUAUUGGGUGAGAGACAACGGAGUCUGAUUUGUUAUUCUAUUUGUCUGUCUAUUUUGAGCUGAAAUCAAUUAAGAAUUUCAUGCCCACUGGGAGGAGAAGAGCUCUUUGAUAUCUGGAAGGCCAGACGUGCCUGCUUCCCCUUCGCCUUCUGCAUGAUUAUCAGUUUCCUGAGGCCUCCCCAGCCAUGCUUCCUGUACAGCCUGCAGAACUGUGAGUCAAUUAAAUCUCUUUUCUUCAUAAAUUAGCCAGUUUCAGGUAGUUCUUUAUAGCAGUAUGAAAACAGACUAAUGGACCCCUCUGGUUGAAGGAAUGCAGCCAUUCUGCUUGUUUGACUGUUUCCUUUCUGUUCAUCUCUAUUUCCCGGGAGGUGUUUAUCCAAGUGCAAUAGGAGGUAUUGGUGACCGCACAGUCCCCUCAGUGUUCUGCUAGUGAAUAGUUGAAGGUUGAUCAGUGAUCUCCUGCAUUUUCAGUCUGGUGUGGAAAAGCCCCCGUGUAACUGGUAAAAGUAUCAGUGAGCACCAGGAGGUAUCUAAAUCCUCCAGGAGCCAUAGGCAUCAUGUUGACAUCCAUUUGCCAGUCUUCCCUGGCAAGUUUCUUCUGAAUUGUACUGCCUUGGCCAAAAGAGGUAUGGGAGGGGCUGGGUGUAGUGGCUCAUGCCUGUAAUCCCAGCAUUUUGGGAGACCAAUUCGGGUGGAUCAUUAGAGGUCAGGGAUUUGAGACCAUCCUGACCAACAUGGUGACAUCCCAUCUCUAC